UACGAAGGGGGCUAGCGUUGCUCGGAAUGACUGGGCGUAAAGGGCGCGUAGGCGGAUGGCACAGUCAGAUGUGAAAUUCCCGGGCUUAACCUGGGGGCUGCAUUUGAUACGUGUUGUCUUGAGUUCGGAAGAGGGUCGUGGAAUUCCCAGUGUAGAAGUGAAAUUCGUAGAUAUUGGGAAGAACACCGGUGGCGAAGGCGGCGACCUGGUCCGACACUGACGCUGAGGCGCGAAAGCGUGGGGAGCAAACAGG
rnacentral:rRNA from 1 species